UGGCGGCGUGCCUACACAUGCAAGUCGAACGUCCUCUCCUCCGCAAGGGGGGGAGGCAGUGGCGGACGGGUGAGUAGCACAUGGGUGACCUGCCUUCCAGUGAGGAAUACCGGCGAGAAAUCGCCGACAAUGCCGCAUAGGCUCCCCCUGCCGCCUGGGGGGGGGAGCAAAGCUCCGCAAGGGGCGCUGGAAGAGGGGCCCGUGGCCGAUUAGCUGGUUGGUGGGGUAAGAGCCUACCAAGGCGACGAUCGGUAGCUGGUCUGAGAGGACGAUCGGCCACACUGGGAUUGAGAACGGCCCAGACUCCUACGGGGGGCAGCAGUGAGGAAUUUUCCGCAAUGGGCGCAAGCCUGACGGAGCAACGCCGCGUGCAGGACGACGGUCUUCGGAUUGUAAACUGCUUUUCCCAGGGACGAGCAAGGACGGUACCUGGGGAACAAGCCCCGGCUAACUACGUGCCAGCAGCCGCGGUAAUACGUAGGGGGCAAGCGUUGUCCGGAGUUACUGGGCGUAAAGCGCCCGCAGGCGGUCGGCCCAGUUUAUGGUGACAGCGCUCAGCUUAACUGAGCGAGGAC
rnacentral:rRNA from 1 species